GGGCCUGUAGCGCAGUUGGGAGCGCGUUUCAAUCGCACUGAAGAGGUCGGGGGUUCGAAUCCCCCCAGGUCCA
rnacentral:tRNA from 1 species